GCGGCAGUAGCUCAGUUGGCCAGAGCACCUCGUUGCCUACGAGGGUGUCGCCGGUUCGAAUCCGGUCUGCCGCUCCA
rnacentral:tRNA from 1 species